UACGAAGGGUGCAAGCGUUACUCGGAAUUACUGGGCGUAAAGCGUGCGUAGGUGGUGAGUUAAGUCUGUCGUGAAAGCCCCGGGCUCAACCUGGGAAUGGCAUUUGGGACUGCAAGGCUCGAGUGCGGCAGAGGAGACUGGAAUUCCUGGUGUAGCAGUGAAAUGCGUAGAUAUCAGGAGGAACACCGAUGGCGAAGGCAGGUCUCUGGGCUGACACUGACGCUCAUGCACGAAAGCGUGGGGAGCAAACAGG
rnacentral:rRNA from 1 species